CUUUUUGUGAUUCUAUAAGACAGGGGUCAACAACCUUUGGCACUCCAGCUGUUGUGAAUCUACAACUCCCAGCAUGCUCCAUUAAUUUCUAUAGAAGUUCUAAGAACAGCCAAUCAAGUGUGCAUUUUGGGAGUUGUAGUUUUACCACAGCUGGAGU